rnacentral:rRNA from 1 species
GAUGAACGCUGGCGGCGUGCCUAAUACAUGCAAGUCGAGCGAAUGGAUUAAGAGCUUGCUCUUAUGAAGUUAGCGGCGGACGGGUGAGUAACACGUGGGUAACCUGCCCAUAAGGCUGGGAUAACUCCGGGAAACCGGGGCUAAUACCGGAUAACAUUUUGAACCGCAUGGUUCGAAAUUGAAAGGCGGCUUCGGCUGUCACUUAUGGAUGGACCCGCGUCGCAUUAGCUAGUUGGUGAGGUAACGGCUCACCAAGGCAACGAUGCGUAGCCGCCCUGAGAGGCUAGUGGGACACACUGGGACUGAGACACGGCCAAGACUCCUGCGGGAGGCAGCGGUAGGGAAUCUUCCGAAAUGGCCGAAAGUCUGAGGGGGAAACGCGGGGGGAGUAAUGAAGGCUUGGGGGUCGAAAAACCCUGUUUUUAGGGAAAAACAAGUGCUAGUUAAAAAGGCUGACACCUGGCCGUUACCUACCAAAAAGGCCCCGGCUAACUAGGUGCCAGCAGCCGCCGUAA